rnacentral:rRNA from 1 species
AACGAACGCUGGCGGCAGGCUUAACACAUGCAAGUCGAACGGGUGUAGCAAUACAUCAGUGGCAGACGGGUGAGUAACACGUGGGAACCUUCCUAGGGGUACGGAACAACUCAGGGAAACUUGAGCUAAUACCGUAUACGUCCGAAAGGAGAAAGAUUUAUCGCCCUUAGACGGGCCCGCGUCGGAUUAGCUAGUUGGUGGGGUAACGGCCUACCAAGGCAACGAUCCGUAGCUGAUCUGAGAGGAUGAUCAGCCACACUGGGACUGAGACACGGCCCAGACUCCUACGGGAGGCAGCAGUGGGGAAUCUUGGACAAUGGGCGCAAGCCUGAUCCAGCCAUGCCGCGUGAGUGAAGAAGGCCUUAGGGUUGUAAAGCUCUUUUGGCAGGGACGAUAAUGACGGUACCUGCAGAAUAAGCCCCGGCAAACUUCGUGCCAGCCGCCGCCUAAAAC